rnacentral:rRNA from 1 species
GUGGGGAAUUUUGGACAAUGGGCGCAAGCCUGAUCCAGCAAUGCCGCGUGCAGGAUGAAGGCCUUCGGGUUGUAAACUGCUUUUGUACGGAACGAAACUGUGAGCUCUAAUACAGUUUGCUAAUGACGGUACCGUAAGAAUAAGCACCGGCUAACUACGUGCCAGCAGCCGCGGUAAUACGUAGGGUGCAAGCGUUAAUCGGAAUUACUGGGCGUAAAGCGUGCGCAGGCGGUUAUGUAAGACAGAUGUGAAAUCCCCGGGCUUAACCUGGGAACUGCAUUUGUGACUGCAUAGCUAGAGUACGGUAGAGGGGGAUGGAAUUCCGCGUGUAGCAGUGAAAUGCGUAGAUAUGCGGAGGAACACCGAUGGCGAAGGCAAUCCCCUGGACCUGUACUGACGCUCAUGCACGAAAGCGUGGGGAGCAAACAGGAUUAGAAACCCUAGUAGUCC